GCGGCACGCCUACACAUGCAAGUCGAACGAAGUAGCAAUACUUAGUGGCAGACGGGUGAGUAACAUGUGGGUAUCUACCCUUUGGCCUGGAAUAACACGAGGAAACUUGUGCUAAUACCGGAUAAGUCUUUACGGAGAAAGCUUUAUGCACCAUUGGAUGAGCCCGCACUUGAUUAGUUUGUUGGUAGGGUAAUGGCCUACCAAGACUAUGAUCAAUAGCUGAUUUGAGAGGAUGAUCAGCCACAUUGGGACUGAGACACGGCCCAAACUCCUACGGGAGGCAGCAGUGGGGAAUCUUGCACAAUGGAGGAAACUCUGAUGCAGCGAUGCCGCGUGAGUGAAGAAGGCCUUUGGGUUGUAAAGCUCUUUCGUCGGGGAAGAAAAUGACUGUACCCGAAUAAGAAGGUCCGGC
rnacentral:rRNA from 1 species